rnacentral:rRNA from 1 species
GACGAACGCUGGCGGCGUGCUUAACACAUGCAAGUCGAACGGAAAGGCCCUGCUUUUGUGGGGUGCUAGAGUGGCGAACGGGUGAGUAACACGUGAGUAACCUGGCCUUGACUUUGGGAUAACUUCAGGAAACUGGGGCUAAUACCGGAUAGGAGCUCCUGCUGCAUGGUGGGGGUUGGAAAGUUUCGGCGGUUGGGGAUGGACUCGCGGGUUAUCAGCUUGUUGGUGGGGUAGUGGCUUACCAAGGCUUUGACGGGUAGCCGGCCUGAGAGGGUGACCGGCCACAUUGGGACUGAGAUACGGCCCAGACUCCUACGGGAGGCAGCAGUGGGGAAUAUUGCACAAUGGGCGGAAGCCUGAUGCAGCAACGCCGCGUGCGGGAUGACGGCCUUCGGGUUGUAAACCGCUUUCGCCUGUGACGAAGCGUGAGUGACGGUAAUGGGUAAAGAAGCACCGGCUAACUACGUG